rnacentral:rRNA from 1 species
GACAGAGGGUGCAAACGUUGUUCGGAAUGACUGGGCGUAAAGCGUGCGCAGGCGGCUUUGCAAGACGGAUGUGAAAUCCCCGGGCUUAACCUGGGAACUGCAUUUGUGGCUGCAUGGCUGGAGUGCGGCAGAGGGGGAUGGAAUUCCGCGUGUAGCAGUGAAAUGCGUAGAUAUGCGGAGGAACACCGAUGGCGAAGGCAAUCCCCUGGGCCUGCACUGACGCUCAUGCACGAAAGCGUGGGGAGCAAACAGG